AUGCACAUCAGGAAAGAUGCAGGAUUGAGGUUAUGGAGACAGUCUGACCCAUAUGCUGUCAGGAGGAGAACUGAUGUGGGUUAUAGGUUCCAUACAAAGGAACAACAAGAUUUCUAUGAAACCAUUCUGCUUGACAAGAGGCCCAUAGUGUGUGACAUGAAAUGGGUGGACUGGGAGUUCAUCCAGGAAAAUGAAGAUCACUUCCCUGGAGUGUAUGACAGCUUUAAGGCAUGUGGAGUUGAUGAAUUCGUUGGACAAAAUCUCACCAAGUGGAAUGAUGAGUUGAUCAUGCAGUUCUACUCCACUGCCCACUUCUAUCCAGAUGGGAUGUCUGAGGGUACCAGGUACCAGUCCACAGUUGAUGAAUGGGCUAAGCUGAUCAAUGCCCCUGCAGAGCAUGAAGAUGACUUGGAUGUAUAUGCCAAGAAGAAGAAAGACCACAACUCCAUGGCAAACAUGUACAAGGAGAUCCCGGACAAGGCUUUGGAAACUCACAAGCUUAGAUAUGUACAUUUCUUGUUGUCUGGUCUGCCUACGAUCAUCUGGAACUUGAGGCACACUCUGCUACCCAAGUCAAGAGAUCACAAGAUGAUCAGAGGGCAUUCUAUCAAUCUGCUCCAAUUGUUUGAUGUCCCUCAGAAGUUCAAGGUUAUGAGCUUAAUGGUAGAAACGAUCAAGAGGACUGCUGCUGACCAGAAGAGAAGUUGUGGGUAUGCUGCACACAUUCAGGGGCUCAUUAACUCUAAGAUGGGCACAGGAACUUAUUUGCUAGACAAGGAGCAUCUACCCAUAUAUCAUGCUUUUGAAGACAAUACCAUUGUGAUGACUGAGGAAGAUCCAUCAUCUGUGCAAGCACAUGAGAAGAGAAAGAAGGCAAGGGCAGAGAAAGUUGUAAGGAUGCCAACUGCUGAAGAGGCAUCUCAAGUAUUCCUCAAGAGCAAGCAAUAUCAGCUUGGAUAUCUGAUUCAAGCUACACUGAGGAUUGAGAAGGGAUUGGCCACCCUGACUCAGAAUCAGGAGAGCCUGGAGGGGAUUGUGGAAACAAAAUUCUAUGAUCUUGAUAUGAAGGUGACUGAAAUUCAGACUGCAGUUGAGCAGAUUCAGGAGGAAGAAGAGGAGAGGAGAGGAAAAGCAACCACUGAUGCUUUCAAGCGUGUGCCACGAGGUCCAAGGUCUGCUGCAGUGCCAGUCUCAGAUGCUAGAGCUUAA
rnacentral:rRNA from 1 species